rnacentral:rRNA from 1 species
UACGUAGGGUGCAAGCGUUAAUCGGAAUUACUGGGCGUAAAGCGUGCGCAGGCGGUUUGUUAAGUGCAGAGUGAAAGCUCCCGGCUCAACUGGGAGAGGUCUUUGCAUACUGGCAAACUCGAGGGAGGCAGAGGAAAGUGGAAUUCCCGGUGUAGUGGUGAUAUGCGUAGAUAUCGGGAGGAACACCUGUGGCGAAGGCGGCUCACUGGCCCGUAACUGACGCUGAGGUGCGAAAGCGUGGGGAGCAAGCAGG